rnacentral:rRNA from 1 species
AGUGAACGCUGGCGGUAGGCCUAACACAUGCAAGUCGAACGGCAGCACAGUAAGAGCUUGCUCUUACGGGUGGCGAGUGGCGGACGGGUGAGGAAUACGUCGGAAUCUACUUUUUCGUGGGGGAUAACGUAGGGAAACUUACGCUAAUACCGCAUACGACCUACGGGUGAAAGCAGGGGAUCUUCGGACCUUGCGCGAUUGAAUGAGCCGAUGUCCGAUUAGCUAGUUGGCGGGGUAAAGGCCCACCAAGGCGACGAUCCGUAGCUGGUCUGAGAGGAUGAUCAGCCACACUGGAACUGAGACACGGUCCAGACUCCUACGGGAGGCAGCAGUGGGGAAUAUUGGACAAUGGGCGCAAGCCUGAUCCAGCCAUACCGCGUGGGUGAAGAAGGCCUUCGGGUUGUAAAGCCCUUUUGUUGGGAAAGAAAAGCAGCAGGUUAAUACCCCACUGUUCUGACGGUACCCAAAGAAUAAGCACCGGCUAACUUCGUG